rnacentral:rRNA from 1 species
UACAGAGGGUGCAAGCGUUAAUCGGAUUUACUGGGCGUAAAGCGCGCGUAGGCGGCUAAUUAAGUCAAAUGUGAAAUCCCCGAGCUUAACUUGGGAAUUGCAUUCGAUACUGGUUAGCUAGAGUGUGGGAGAGGAUGGUAGAAUUCCAGGUGUAGCGGUGAAAUGCGUAGAGAUCUGGAGGAAUACCGAUAGCGAAGGCAGCCAUCUGGCCUAACACUGACGCUGAGGUGCGAAAGCAUGGGGAGCAAACAGG